AUGCGUGGCAGUCCGGCCCCUCCCCCCACCCUUUGGUGGGUGUUGGGGUCGGCCUCCUGCGCAUCGGCAUCAUGCUCUGAUGCUGUAUUAACAGCGUCACUGACAUCACCUUGAUGUUUAUUUCCAUCUUUGACCAUACUAGCUGGGCGGGGAACCCACUGAUGAUGGUUCACCAUACGCAGCUGGGAUUUCCCUCCCCGCCUUCCUUGUGCUAAAUGGUCAAUUAGGCAUGAUGUUGAUGGGGGCCCCACCUGGGAAUGGAGGUAUAUAGUAGCCUUGGAGUGGCUGGUGGUUCAUUUGCUUGACUCAACCACUAGGAACAACACAUCUGAUCCUGCACACAGGUCACCCUCCCUUGUUGGGAGCCUAGUCACCAAUUUAUGGUACACUAUGCACUUUACGUGCACACAUAACAUUUUGGAUCAGGCUGUGACCACCGUGUCUUACUCCGGGCACUGUUCCUCGUUCUCAUGGGUUCCCCGUUUCAACCCCGGGGGAGACAUCCUGCCCGGACCCCCCUUCUUUCCUUGGCAGAUACCGGACCGGGUCUUGUGGUGGCAUAUAUACUGUCCUAAAAACACUCCUGAUGAUUGGCUGAAAUGCCAGGAAACGCGUAGAGUGCCCCCAGAUGCCAACAAUCACCU